GUGUCAGCAGCCGCGGUAAUACGGGGGGGGCAAGCGUUGUUCGGAAUUACUGGGCGUAAAGGGCGCGUAGGCGGUUGGAUAAGUCAGCUGUGAAAACCACGGGCUUAACUCGUGGCCUGCAGUUGAGACUGUCUGGCUUGAGUGUGGGAGAGGAGAGUGGAAUUCCUGGUGUAGCGGUGAAAUGCGUAGAUAUCAGGAGGAACACCGGUGGCGAAGGCGGCUCUCUGGACCACAACUGACGCUGAGGCGCGAAAGCUAGGGGAGCAAACAGGAUUAGAUACCCUGGUAGUCC
rnacentral:rRNA from 1 species